rnacentral:ncRNA from 1 species
UGACCUCGGAUCAGUCGUGAGUACCCGCUAAACUUAAGCAUAUCAAUAAGCGGAGGAGAAGAAACUAACGACGAUUGCCUCAGUAACGGCGAGUGAAAAGGGAGGAGCCCAGCGCCGAAGCCUGCGGCUGGUUUGCUGUUAGGCAAUGUGGUGUGUGGGUCGAU